CACCGCCCGUCACGCCAUGGAAGCUGGUGUCGCCUGAAAAGGAUGAGCUAACCCGCAAGGGGGGGCAAUUCUUGACGGCAAUACUGGUGACUGGGGUG
rnacentral:rRNA from 1 species